UACGUAGGUGGCAAGCGUUGUCCGGAUUUAUUGGGUUUAAAGGGUGCGUAGGCGGCCCUGUAAGUCAGUGCUGAAAUAUCCCGGCUUAACCGGGAGGGUGGCAUUGAUACUGCGGGGCUAGAGUACAGAUGAGGUAGGCGGAAUUGACGGUGUAGCGGUGAAAUGCUUAGAUAUCGUCAAGAACACCUAUAGCGAAGGCAGGUCUCUGGGCCACUACUGACGCUGAGAAGCGAAAGCAUGGGGAGCGAACAGG
rnacentral:rRNA from 1 species